rnacentral:tRNA from 1 species
UUAGUUAUAGCUAAAUAAGCAAUAUCAUUGUUAAUGAUAAGAUAAACAACAAGGUUUUAACUAAG